UUGGUUUGUCCUAAGUCAAACUUCACCAACUUUGACCAAGUUUAUAGAAAAAUAUAACAACAACUAUACUACCAAACAUAUAUACUAUCAAAACAUAUUACAUGGUGGAUUCAAUGAAACAAAUUUGGUAUUAUAGAUGUUAUAUUUUUCUAUAAAGUUGGUCAAAGUUGUAUAAAUUUGAGUUAGGACAAACCAAA
rnacentral:pre_miRNA from 1 species